rnacentral:tRNA from 1 species
GUUCCUGUAGUUAAAUGUCUAUAACAGCGGCUUUUCAGGCCGCGGAUCCUAGAGAAAAGCUGGGCAGGAAUA